ACCAGUUGAAAAUCACUGGUCUGCACAAUUAUGCAGCCUUAAAAAUGAAGGACAUCCUGACACAUGCUAUACCGUGUACAAACCUGGAAGACAUUUUGCUAAGUGAAAUAAAUCAGUCACAUAAGGACAAAUAUUUCCUGAUUCCAUUCAUUUGAGGCACUUAUGAGUAGUCAAAUUCAGUGGGACGGAAAGCAGAAUGGUGGUUGCCAGGGACUGGAGGGGAGGGGGAAAUGGGGAGAUACUGCUUAACAAGUACAAAGUUUCAGCUGGAGAAGAUGAAAACGUUCUGGAAAUGGAUGAUGACAAUAGUUGCACUGCAAUGUGAAUGUAAUUAAUGCCAUGGAACUGUAGGGUUAAAAAUGGUAAAUUUUAUGUUAUGAAUAUUUUACUACAAUUAAAAUAAGUCUACAUGAUGAGUUUCUUCCUUUACAGGCCAAACUUAAUUUUAACCAAAACAACUCAAGAUUGUCUGCCCUUUGGGGAUGGGUCCGAAGAGCACCAACAUCUUGGGGAGCCAAUUUGUUUAACUGAGGAUCAGGAGACCGCCUGUGAGAAUAGAACUAAAUGGAUGCCCUUUGAGCAUCCCUUCACCCCUUCUGUGCCAGUGGUUCCCCAGUGAACUUGCAGUCUUUGCAUGCUGCCCCCUAAUGGAGCUGAGAACUUCCCAGCCUAGUCCUACAGAGAAGUCAUAUGGAGCCCUGCAGGACCUGCAGGACACCUCUGCAUUCACUCAAGGCAAGGCUCUAGAAAGUCUGCAGGAGCCUCAAGAACAAUUCCAUUCUUCUGGGAGGAAGCACAACCUUGGCUGGAAGAUGAGGGAAUUGAGGCCCAUACAAAUUCACAACCUGCCCAAGGUAUGGAUCCCAAAUACGAACAACAGCAUUCUGACUCCUGAGUCCACAGCACUAUUCUGCCCCUUGUCAAUUUCUAAAAGAGAGCCAUUCAAAGGAAGACAGAGAAUCAACCCAGGGGAAUGAUCUUGCCAGGUCAGACUGUUCCAAGUGCAUACUUGUUUUAUUUCUCUAUUUCCAUAACAAUACAAAGAUGCUUAGAACAAUAAUGGUUCAAAAUAAUUUCUGCAUCAUUGAUAUGUAUUGUCUGCAUAAAAUUUAGGCACAAAUUUUAUGGACCCCCCAUUAAGAACUAGAGUUCACAAAAUGUUGGAGUUAGAAUAAUUUAAAGUUAUUCAUUUUCUAGAUAGGGUGGCAUUUGCUGAACUGUCAGGGGUUCCCAAACAUGGCUAUACAUUAGAAACAACUGAGAAACUUCUAAAAAUAUUCAUGCUCAAAACCAGCGCUCUAUCAGGCACGGCCUGUCUAAUGCAACCCCAAGACCAAUUCAUUCUGAAUCUUUGGGGAAGGUAUUGGGGUCCUGGAAUUUUGGUUGAAAACUACUGGUGCAAAGAAAGAAAAAUGGACCAAAAUUACCUGGUUCUGUCAUUAAUUCUUAUCCCCAGACUUAAUGAACAAUUCAGAUACCAUUUGGUUGUUAUUUACAUAUCAAAAUUAUAAACAAUCCAAAUAACAGAGUGGCAAUACACUUUGGCAUCUCCACAUGAACUUAUGCUGUUAUUAAUAAUGAAGUUUCAUAAAACAUAGGAUUAUGUUGAUGUCUAAUGCUUAAUGUAAAAAGCAGGGUACAAAAUUCCAUAUAUAUAUGGCAAAAGAUGAGAAGAAAUACAUGAAAACUAACUGGAAAGGCUACAUAUUGUAUGAUUCCAACUAUAUGACGUUCUGAAAAUGGCAACUCUAUAGAGGAGUAAACAAAUUAGUGGUGCCCUAGCCAGUUUGGCUCAGUGGAUAGAAUGUCGGCCUGCAGACCAAAGGGUC